CCUACGGGAGGCAGCAGUGAGGAAUAUUGGUCAAUGGGCGCGAGCCUGAACCAGCCAAGUAGCGUGAAGGAUGACUGCCCUAUGGGUUGUAAACUUCUUUUAUACGGGAAUAAAGUGCGGCACGUGUGCCUUUUUGUAGGUACCUCAUGAAUAAGGAUCGGCUAAUUCCGUGCCAGCAGCCGCGGUAAUACGGAGGAUCCGAGCGUUAUCCGGAUUUAUUGGGUUUAAAGGGAGCGUAGGCGGGUUGUUAAGUGUGAUGUGAAAGUUUGCGGCUCAACCAUGGAAUUGCAGUUGAAACUGGCGGCCUUGAGUGCAGUUGAGGUAUGCGGAAUUCGUGGUGUAGCGGUGAAAUGCUUAGAUAUCACGAAGAACUCCGAUUGCGAAGGCAGCAUACUGAAGCGCCACUGACGUUGAGGCUCGAAGGUGUGGGUAUCGAACAGGAUUAGAUACCCGGGUAGUC
rnacentral:rRNA from 1 species